GGCGGCAUGCCUUACACAUGCAAGUCGAACGGCAGCACGGGGGCAACCCUGGUGGCGAGUGGCGAACGGGUGAGUAAUACAUCGGAACGUGUCCUGUAGUGGGGGAUAGCCCGGCGAAAGCCGGAUUAAUACCGCAUACGCUCUACGGAGGAAAGGGGGGGGAUCUUCGGACCUCCCGCUACAGGGGCGGCCGAUGGCAGAUUAGCUAGUUGGUGGGGUAAAGGCCUACCAAGGCGACGAUCUGUAGCUGGUCUGAGAGGACGACCAGCCACACUGGGACUGAGACACGGCCCAGACUCCUACGGGAGGCAGCAGUGGGGAAUUUUGGACAAUGGGCGAAAGCCUGAUCCAGCAAUGCCGCGUGUGUGAAGAANGCCUUCGGGUUGUAAAGCACUUUUGUCCGGAAAGAAAACCUCUGGGUUAAUACCCCGGGGGGAUGACGGUACCGGAAGAAUAAGCACCGGCUAACUACGUGCCAGCAGCCGCGGUAAUACGUAGGGUGC
rnacentral:rRNA from 1 species